rnacentral:lncRNA from 1 species
ACAUCUUCAGUCCUCACAAGAGCAUUGCAAUGUGUUUAUUGUUCUUAUUCACAUAGGGAGAGCAUUUUGCCAGUGGUUACCCUGGGAAAUUUCAGAGCUGCGAUUAGAGCCUGAUCUGUCAGGAUUUAAGGUGUUAUUUAAUUCUAUUGAUCCAAUGUGCCCUUUGGAUCCAGUCUCCUCCCUCCAGGCUUCACAACUCAGUCUCUAGUUGAUCAGAAGUGAUCUUAGAACCCUGAAACCAACAAAAUGACUCUACAACUCUCUUAAUACUUUAAUUUGAAUACCUUGGGAGUAAAAUGGAAAGAUUAAGGGAAAAAACAGGUUUUACUUUUCUAUUCAUCUAUUUAACAGGAACAAUAGAAGCUAAUAGUUAUUGAACACUAUAAUGAUUAAUUCUAUGUGUCAACCUGGCUGAGUCAUACUACUCAUAUAUUUGGUCAAACAUUAUUCUGGAUGUUUCUGUGAAAACAUGUUUUGGAUGAGAUUAGCUUUUAAAUUGGUGAACUUUGAGUAAAGCAGAUUACCCUUCAUAAUGUUUGCGGGACAUAUGCAAUCAGUUAGAGAUCUUAAUAAAAUACUGACCUCUCCCAAGCACAGAGAAAUUAUAUCAGCAAGCUGCCUUUGGACUCAAACUUCAACUCUUCCUUGGGUCUCCAUUCUGUCAGCCUACCCUGCAAUUUUAGGCUUGUAUUUCCACAAUCCUGUGAACUACUUUCUUAAAAGGUCUCUCUUUUCUCUCUUUCUCUUAGAGAUUUGAAUCCUUGAAUCUUAUUAAGAUGAAGGUUCUGAUUCAGUCCACUUGAGGUCAUCUUCCACAAGCUCUCAGGUGAUGCUGUUGCUACUAUGGUUCAGGAGACUCCACUGUGUUUGGCAUGGCUUUAAAGCACUUCUGGCUGUUGGAUCAAGAGUCCUGAGUUCAACUCUGACCCUAGAAAGUUAACCUAUUUGUUAUUUAGUAUCCAUUUCUACAAAACUAUAAUGAUAAGACAACCCAUCUUAUCACAGGGCUGCUCUGAAGAUGAAAUGACAUGGCCAUAUAGAGUUCUCGGAAUAGUGUCUGGCACACUAUAAACACACAAUAAACAAAAUAUGUUAUUUUUAUAUUGUUGUUAUCUUUAAAAUAACACAGUGGUUCUCAAUACAGGGCUGAGGGUAGACACCUGGAAUCAUUUUUGGUUGACAUGAGUGAUUAGAUGGAAAGUGCUGUUGGCAUCUAGUGAGGAGAGGUCAGGGAUGCUGUUAUGCAUCUUACAAAUGAUUAUCUGUCCCAAAAUAUCAAUAGUACCAAGGUUGAGAAACCUUUCAAUAACUCUGCAACUUAGGUAUUAUCACUCCCAGUUUGCAGAUGAAGGCACAGAGAUCCAGAGAUAUGGCUAAGUACACACAGUAACACAGACCAACGUGAAAAUACAGCCC